AGUGAACGCUGGCGGUAGGCCUAACACAUGCAAGUCGAACGGCAGCACAGUAAGAGCUUGCUCUUACGGGUGGCGAGUGGCGGACGGGUGCGGAAUACAACGGAAUAUACCUUAUCGUGGGGGAUAACGUAGGGCAAACUACGCUAAUACCGCAUACGACCUACGGGUGAAAGAAGGGACUCUACGGACCUCGCGCGAUCGAUUGAGCCGAUGUCGGAUUAGCCAGUUGGCGGGGUAAAGGCCCACCAAGGCGACGAUCCGUAGCUGGUCUGGGAUGAUGAUCAACCCCACUGGAACUGAGAAUCGGUCCAGACUCCUACGGGAGGCUGCGGCGGGGAAUAUUGGACAGUGCGCGCAAACCUGAUCCAGCCAUACCGCGUGGGUCAAGAAGCCCUUCGGGUUGUAAAGCCCUUUUGUUGGGAAAGAAAAGCAGCAGGUUAAUACCCCGCUGUUCUGACGGUACCCUAAGAAUAAGCUGCGGCUAACUUCGUG
rnacentral:rRNA from 1 species